rnacentral:rRNA from 1 species
GUCCACGCCGUAAACGGUGGGUGCUAGUUGUGGGUUCCAUUCCACGGAAUCUGUGACGAAGUUAACACAUUAAGCACCCCGCCUGGGGAGUACGGUCGCAAGACUAAAACUCAAAGGAAUUGACGGGGCCCGCACAAGCGGCGGAGCAUGCGGAUUAAUUCGAUGCAACGCGAAGAACCUUACCAAGGCUUGACAUAUAGAGGAAAAGCAUAGAAAUAUGCUCCCCGCAAGGUCUCUAUACAGGUGGUGCAUGGUUGUCGU